rnacentral:rRNA from 1 species
GAAAGGCGAAAAGAACCCCGGGAGGGGAGUGAAAUAGAACCUGAAACCGUGUGCCUACAACCGGUCAAAGCCCCAUAUGAGGGUGAUGACGUGCUUUUUGUAGAACGAGCCAACGAGUUACGGUAUGUAGCAAGGUUAAGUACUUAAGGUACGGAGCCGAAGGGAAACCGAGUCUUAAUAGGGCGACUAGUUGCAUGCUGUAGACCCGAAACCGG